GAUGAACGCUGGCGGCGUGCCUAAUACAUGCAAGUCGAGCGAACAGACGAGGAGCUUGCUCCUCUGACGUUAGCGGCGGACGGGUGAGUAACACGUGGAUAACCUACCUAUAAGACUGGGAUAACUUCGGGAAACCGGAACUAAUACCGGAUAAUAUAUUGAACCGCAUGGUUCAAUAGUGAAAGACGGUUUUGCUGUCACUUAUAGAUGGAUCCGCGCCGCAUUAGCUAGUUGGUAAGGUAACGGCUUACCAAGGCGACGAUGCGUAGCCGACCUGAGAGGGUGAUCGGCCACACUGGAACUGAGAAACGGUCCAGAAUCCUACGGGAGGCAGCAGUAGGGAAUCUUCCGCAAUGGGCGAAAGCCUGACGGAGCAACGCCGCGUGAGUGAUGAAGGUCUUCGGAUCGUAAAACGCUGUUAUUAGGGAAGAACAAAUGUGUAAGUAACGAUGCACGUCUUGACGGUACCUAAUCAGAAAACCACGGCUAACUACGU
rnacentral:rRNA from 1 species